rnacentral:rRNA from 1 species
UACGUAGGGUGCAAGCGUUGUCCGGAAUUAUUGGGCGUAAAGAGCUCGUAGGCGGUUUGUCGCGUCUUUUGUGAAAACUCGGGGCUUAACUCCGGGCCUGCAGUGGGUACGGGCAGGCUAGAGUGCGGUAGGGGAGACUGGAAUUCCUGGUGUAGCGGUGAAAUGCGCAGAUAUCAGGAGGAACACCGGUGGCGAAGGCGGGUCUCUGGGCCGUAACUGACGCUGAGGAGCGAAAGCGUGGGGAGCAAACAGG